rnacentral:RNase_P_RNA from 1 species
CCAGAUGAUUGGACGACUGCUCGUGAGAACGAGAGGAAAGUCCGGGCUCCUCAAGAAUGUGGUGCCGGGUAAUUCCCGGCGAAGGUGACUUCAGGGAAAGUGCCACAGAAAAUAAACCGCCUGAAAAGGCAAGGGUGAAAAGGUGAGGUAAGAGCUCACCGCAUUUUUGGUAACAAAAAUGGCAGGGUAAACCCCACCAGGAGCAAGAUCUAAUAGAGUUAUAAUAGUUUAUUCUUGGCUAUAACUGGGUUGAUCGCAUGAUUUUGCUGGUAACAGCAAAACUAGAUGAAUGGUCGUCAUUUUUAGCAAUAAAAAUACAGAACCCGGCUUAUAUAUCAUCUGGCACA